AUGCUGAGGUUUGUCUGUCAUAUUUACUCUAAAGUCUAGACCAAGUAAAUCAUCAGCUUGUCUUAAAAGUCAACUGAAAGCAUAUGGGCGUACGACAAAUGAACGGAGAUUGACGGAACAAUGAAUACAUCUGACAAGAUGAGGCAAUCAUCGUCACAGAUAGGUUUCGUUCCAAUUGAACUUGUCACACGAAUAUCAAGUUGGAUCAUGUUAGGGAAUACAUAGUAAACAGAUAUGGAGCUAUGUAGCAUUUAUUAAAGAAGCUGAAUCUUCCUGAAUCAUUACCUGGAGUUUCAUGCUGCUUAUCAUUCAAAGAACUGAUGAAGAGAAGAAGCAUUACAAUUGAUAAACAAAAAUAUUUGCAAGAACUACUUUGGAAAAUUACUGCUUGAAAUAUGAAAAAUGACAUUUGUCUAAAAUUACGAUGACGAUAUAUUGUCGAUGCUUGUUGUUAUGCUACUGAUGAUAACAUUGGUUGUAUUACUAUUUUAGGCAAAAAUUAAGCACAAUGUUGAGAGAUACACUAAAUUUAAUUUU